UACGGAGGGUGCAAGCGUUGUCCGGAUUUAUUGGGUUUAAAGGGUGCGUAGGCGGCUUUUUAAGUCAGUGGUGAAAUACAGCAGCUCAACUGUUGAGGUGCCAUUGAUACUGAGAGGCUUGAGUACAGAUGAGGUAGGCGGAAUUUAUGGUGUAGCGGUGAAAUGCAUAGAUACCAUAAAGAACACCGAUUGCGAAGGCAGCUUACUAAGCUGUAACUGACGCUGGAGGCAACGAAAGCGUGGGGAGCGAACAGGA
rnacentral:rRNA from 1 species